rnacentral:rRNA from 1 species
GACGAACGCUGGCGGCGUGCUUAACACAUGCAAGUCGUACGGUAAGGCCCUUUCGGGGGUACACGAGUGGCGAACGGGUGAGUAACACGUGAGUAACCUGCCCACAACUUUGGGAUAACGCUAGGAAACUGGUGCUAAUACUGGAUAUGUGCUCCUGCUGCAUGGUGGGGGUUGGAAAGCUCCGGCGGUUGUGGAUGGACUCGCGGCCUAUCAGCUUGUUGGUGGGGUAGUGGCCUACCAAGGCGGCGACGGGUAGCCGGCCUGAGAGGGUGACCGGCCACAUUGGGACUGAGAUACGGCCCAGACUCCUACGGGGGGCAGCAGUGGGGAAUAUUGCACAAUGGGCGCAAGCCUGAUGCAGCAACGCCGCGUGCGGGAUUACGGCCUUCGGGUUGUAAACCGCUUUCAGCAGGGACGAAGCUUUUUGUGACGGUACCUGCAGAAGAAGCACCGGCUAACUACGUG